GAUGAACGCUGGCGGCGUGCCUAAUACAUGCAAGUCGAGCGAACAGAUGAGAAGCUUGCUUCUCUGAUGUUAGCGGCGGACGGGUGAGUAACACGUGGGUAACCUACCUAUAAGACUGGGAUAACUCCGGGAAACCGGGGCUAAUACCGGAUAAUAUUUUGAACCGCAUGGUUCAAUAGUGAAAGACGGUUUCGGCUGUCACUUAUAGAUGGACCCGCGCCGUAUUAGCUAGUUGGUAAGGUAACGGCUUACCAAGGCGACGAUACGUAGCCGACCUGAGAGGGUGAUCGGCCACACUGGAACUGAGACACGGUCCAGACUCCUACGGGAGGCAGCAGUAGGGAAUCUUCCGCAAUGGGCGAAAGCCUGACGGAGCAACGCCGCGUGAGUGAUGAAGGUCUUCGGAUCGUAAAACUCUGUUGUUAGGGAAGAACAAAUUUGUUAGUAGCUGAACAAGUCUUGACGGUACCUAACCAGAAAGCCACGGCUAACUACGUGCCAGCAGCCGCGGUAAUACGUAGGUGGCAAGCGUUAUCCGGAAUUAUUGGGCGUAAAGCGCGCGUAGGCGGUUUCUUAAGUCUGAUGUGAAAGCCCACGGCUCAACCGUGGAGGGUCAUUGGAAACUGGGAAACUUGAGUGCAGAAGAGGAGAGUGGAAUUCCAUGUGUAGCGGUGAAAUGCGCAGAGAUAUGGAGGAACACCAGUGGCGAAGGCGGCUCUCUGGUCUGUAACUGACGCUGAUGUGCGAAAGCGUGGGGAUCAAACAGGAUUAGAUACCCUGGUAGUCCACGCCGUAAACGAUGAGUGCUAAGUGUUAGGGGGUUUCCGCCCCUUAGUGCUGCAGCUAACGCAUUAAGCACUCCGCCUGGGGAGUACGACCGCAAGGUUGAAACUCAAAGGAAUUGACGGGGACCCGCACAAGCGGUGGAGCAUGUGGUUUAAUUCGAAGCAACGCGAAGAACCUUACCAAAUCUUGACAUCCUUUGACCGCUCUAGAGAUAGAGUCUUCCCCUUCGGGGGACAAAGUGACAGGUGGUGCAUGGUUGUCGUCAGCUCGUGUCGUGAGAUGUUGGGUUAAGUCCCGCAACGAGCGCAACCCUUAAGCUUAGUUGCCAUCAUUAAGUUGGGCACUCUAGGUUGACUGCCGGUGACAAACCGGAGGAAGGUGGGGAUGACGUCAAAUCAUCAUGCCCCUUAUGAUUUGGGCUACACACGUGCUACAAUGGAUAAUACAAAGGGCAGCGAAUCCGCGAGGCCAAGCAAAUCCCAUAAAAUUAUUCUCAGUUCGGAUUGUAGUCUGCAACUCGACUACAUGAAGCUGGAAUCGCUAGUAAUCGUAGAUCAGCAUGCUACGGUGAAUACGUUCCCGGGUCU
rnacentral:rRNA from 1 species